AGUGAUCUGAGUCGAGCUGUGGAUGCAAGCAGCUUAGAAACAAGCAGAAGGAAUGAGAAUGGACAUCAGAAGAUAGAGUUCAGAAGACAGGAAAGGAAGGAAAGCACUGCAUUUUAUAGGCAACCGAACAAAACUGGAUGAAAGUCAGCACAGCAAAAGCCAACUGCAACAUCAGAAAAUGUUUUCUAAUGCUGGGUCUAUUAGGUCCUGGAGUAAUCUCCACAGGAGGAGGUGAAGGCUGUAUUCGAGGAGAGACGUCAAACCUCAGUGAAAAUUUUGGUUGAAGCCAUAAACAAGGCGGAUGUUGGCAGCAGAUGAAGGCCGAGGCCUUGGGAACAUUACCAGGUUCUAACAAUUGCAGAAGCGCGAUGAAGGAGGAAAUCUCCCAGUCCACUGCUGUGUGCUGAAAGUACAGCUUCGAAGAAUUGGUUUGCUUUCCAAGAAAACAAAAUCAAUUUAAUCUUCAAGAAUAUGGCUUCCUACAGGGACCAACUCUAGGAGGAAGAAUGGUUCAGCAGUGAAAUGCAAUAGGUGCAGGCCUGUUGUAAUUAGAAUUCAUCUAGCUGUUCCAAGAUUCUCAAUUAAAGUAACCAUUCAAGACGGUUUGGAGCUUCCACUCACAGUUAAUGAGCACACAGUAGGUAGACCUGACGCCUAUUGUGAUGCUGUUUGCCUUGCAGCUCUGUCCUUCCCAGGUUUCUCCAGCACCGCGUCCUUCUUCCUUGGGUAAGCAUAAUUCUUUUAGAGAGGAAAAGUUUGUACUUCAGCAAGGGCAGUCCUCUGAGGCUUCCCAUUCUUCCCUUCACAAAAGCAGAAGAUGGGGCUUGAAUGCUUCCCUGUGUAUUGAAUUUAAAGAUAACAGCCGCUCUAUUGUUCAGAAGUAAAUCCUUUCAUUAAAAAAAAAAAAAAAAAACAGAAGAGAAAGAAGAAAGAAAGAAAGAAAAGGGCUCCUUAUCCCACAUACCCUCCUUCCAUGCAUGAGGUAAUGAACAUUUGGGGGAUUCUAGAAGUUCACGUCCCUGUAGUCCCAAGAUCUUUUCUGUUUCACAGAUCUUUUGCUAAAUGCAUUUGGAGAAUUGGUCAGCUUCAUGCUUUCCUAUGGAAAGCCAUAGGAAGCCUUCAGGGGUGAAAACAACCAAAUGAAAAAGGCCUCGUUAGCUUCCUGCUCAAGCUGACCAGCCUGCAAAUAGCUCACUUGGUGCUGGAAGUUAUGUGGAUGGGAACAGAGGAGUCUUGGGACAACAGGCACACAUCCCUGUGGUGAACUGGUACCAGACGCUGGCAGCUGCAGAGUGACAAAGGAGACCAUGCCCCGUUCUUGUCUCAUUCAUCAGUUUUGACAUGUGAUGUCCUGACUCCCUGAACAUUCAUCAAAGGAGACAAAUCACAUUGAAUAUCAGCUUUGUCGGAAUGACUGAGGUUAGCAGUUGCCUAUAGAGAAAAAAUGGCUCAUAACUAGCUAUCAUGUAAGGGGAAAAGUUGGUUGCCCAUAUAAAUAAUUGUUUUCUUAUUUUUAA
rnacentral:lncRNA from 1 species